AGCAGCCGCGGUAAUUCCAGCUCCAAUAGCGUAUAUUAAAGUUGUUGCAGUUAAAAAGCUCGUAGUUGAAUUUCGGGAUCAAUAUAUCGGUCAUGCUUAGGUAUGUACUGGUAUUAUUGAUUUCUCCCUUCUGAAGAACCAUGAUGUCAUUAAUUUGAUGUCGUGGGGAAUCAGGACUGUUACUUUGAAAAAAUUAGAGUGUUUAAAGCAGGCAUACGCUUGAAUACAUUAGCAUGGAAUAAUGAAAUAGGACGUUUGAUUCUAUUUUGUUGGUUUCUAGGAUCGACGUAAUGAUUAAUAGGGAUAGUUGGGGGCAUUAGUAUUCAAUUGUCAGAGGUGAAAUUCUUGGAUUUAUUGAAGACUAACUACUGCGAAAGCAUUUGCCAAGGAUGUUUUCAUUAAUCAAGAACGAAAGUUAGGGGAUCGAAGACGAUCAGAUACCGUCGUAGUCUUAACCAUAAACUAUGCCGACUAGGGAUCGGAUGAUGUUAACUUUUAAUGACU
rnacentral:rRNA from 1 species